UACGUAGGGUGCGAGCGUUAAUCGGAAUUACUGGGCGUAAAGCGUGCGCAGGCGGUUUUGUAAGCCAGAUGUGAAAUCCCCCGGGCUUAACCUGGGAAUGGCAUUUGGGACUGCAAGGCUCGAGUGCGGCAGAGGAGACUGGAAUUCCUGGUGUAGCAGUGAAAUGCGUAGAUAUCAGGAGGAACACCGAUGGCGAAGGCAGGUCUCUGGGCUGACACUGACGCUCAUGCCACGAAAGCGUGGGGAGCAACAGG
rnacentral:rRNA from 1 species